AUGUUAAAAAAAAAAACCUAAAAAUAAAAUGCUGGAAUCCCUUGUGGCAGCAGAGCCAGGCUAAGACCCAGGUUGUCUUUCAGACUGGUAGGUUUGAUUUUUUGGAUUUUGUCCCCAGCAAUUUGCCUCACAAACCCAUUGUUAAAAUUCAAGAACCUGGAUCCUUUUCACAAGAUGGCACCGAAGGCAAAGAAGGAAGCUCCUGCCCCUCCCAAAGCCGAAGCCAAAGCAAAGGCUUUGAAGGCCAAGAAGGCAGUGCUAAAAGGUGUCCACAGCCACAAAAUAAAGAAGAUCGGUAUGUCACCCACCUUCCGGCGGCCAAAGACACUGCGGCUCGGGAGGCAGCCCAAAUAUCCUCGGAAGAGCGCCCCCAGGAGAAACAAGUUUGACCACUAUGCCAUCAUCAAGUUCCCCUUGACCACAGAGUCGGCCAUGAAGAAGAUAGAAGACAACAACACACUUGUGUUCAUUGUGGAUGUCAAAGCCAAUAAGCACCAGAUCAAACAGGCUGUGAAGAAGCUCUAUGACAUUGAUGUGGCCAAGGUCAACACCCUGAUCAGGCCUGAUAGAGAGAAGAAGGCAUAUGUUCGACUGGCUCCUGAUUAUGAUGCUUUGGACGUUGCCAACAAAAUUGGGAUCAUCUAAACCAAGUCCAGCUGGCUAAUUCUAAAUAUAUAUAUAUCUUCUCACC